UAGGAAGUUUUUAUAUUUCGGCCAAAUAAAUAAUGAAAUCAUCCUCUAUCAUUUUCUUAUGUCUCUUUACGACCAUUGUCUCCCACAUCUUCCCAACUAUCAGUACCCCCUAUCCCUCCCCUUCCCUCAUUUUACUCCAAGGAAGGCUGCCCAUGAGAAAACUGAGCAUGUUACUGCCCUACGACAAGCACAAAUACCACAAAAUACAGGAUGGUGAAGAGAUGAAAGGAUCAACCGUCGAAGAAGGUUCAGUGACAUUUAAACGUACAAGCAGCAGGGACAAUUCAGAUGAGAUUGUCUACCACAUUGAUUAUCAAGGGGUGACAACACAUCCAACUCCAACUCCAAAACAACCCAAAUCGUAGAGAGCUUAUUCGCUUUUAUGAGGAAAUGUAAUUAUGUACUGUGUUUAAAGAUAUAAAUGAAAAGUAAAGAGAGAGGUACCAUUUCUAAGCGAUAAGAGGCUUGUGUAAAAUGUUUAACAGUUUGAGAAAGCGUUUUUUUCUUUUUAAAAUGAUAGUAAGAGCUCAAUUAUCAGGAUGAA